rnacentral:rRNA from 1 species
AUACGGAGGGUGCGAGCGUUGUCCGGAUUUAUUGGGUUUAAAGGGUGCGUAGGUGGCUUUAUAAGUCAGUGGUGAAAUACGGUUGCUCAACAAUCGAGGUGCCAUUGAUACUGUAGAGCUUGAAACAAGUGGAGGUUGCCGGAAUGGAUGGUGUAGCGGUGAAAUGCAUAGAUAUCAUCCAGAACACCGAUUGCGAAGGCAGGUGACUACGUUUGAUUUGACACUGAGGCACGAAAGCAUGGGGAGCAAACAGGAUUAGAUACCCUGGUAGUCCAUGCCGUAAACGAUGAGGACUCGCUGUUGGCCUGUCAAGGGUCAGCGGCUUAGGGAAACCGUUAAGUCCUCCACCUGGGGAGUACGCCGGCAACGGUGAA